rnacentral:rRNA from 1 species
GACGAACGCUGGCGGCGUGCUUAACACAUGCAAGUCGAACGGAAAGGCCUCUUUCGGGGGGUACUCGAGUGGCGAACGGGUGAGUAACACGUGAGUAACCUGCCCUUGACUUUGGGAUAACUUCAGGAAACUGGGGCUAAUACCGGAUAGGAGCUCCUGCUGCAUGGUGGGGGUUGGAAAGUUUCGGCGGUUGGGGAUGGACUCGCGGCUUAUCAGCUUGUUGGUGGGGUAGUGGCUUACUAAGGCUUUGACGGGUAGCCGGCCUGAGAGGGUGACCGGCCACAUUGGGACUGAGAGACGGACCAGACGCCUACGGGAGGCAGCAGUGGGGAAUAUUGCACAAUGGGUGGAAGCCUGAUGCAGCGACGCCGUGUGCGGGAUGACGGCUUUCGGGUUGUAAACCGCUUUCGCUCAUGACGAAGCUUUGUGUGACGGUAGUGGGUAAAGAAGCACCGGCUAACUACGUG